UGGAUGAUGUGGAUUAAUUCGAUGCAACGCGAAAACCUUACUACCCUUGACAUGUCCGGAAUCCCGAAGAGAUUUGGGAGUGCUCGCAAGAGAGCCGGAACACAGGUGCUGCAUGGCUGUCGUCAGCUCGUGUCGUGAGAUGUUGGGUUAAGUCCCGCAACGAGCGCAACCCUUGUCAUUAGUUGCCAUCAUUUGGUUGGGCACUCUAAUGAGACUGCCGGUGACAAACCGGAGGAAGGUGGGGAUGACGUCAAGUCCUCAUGGCCCUUAUAGGUGGGGCUACACACGUCAUACAAUGGAUGGUACAAAGGGUCGCCAACCCGCGAGGGGGAGCCAAUCCCAUAAAGCCAUUCGUAGUCCGGAUCGCAGUCUGCAACUCGACUGCGUGAAGUCGGAAUCGCUAGUAAUCGUGGAUCAGAAUGUCACGGUGAAUACGUUCCCGGGUCUU
rnacentral:rRNA from 1 species